CGCGAUGAUCCAGCGGGUCAAACGGGGCGGUCCUAAAAACCGCUGGGCCCCUCACGGGGCCUCGUGGGUUCGAAUCCCACCCCCGUCGUGU
rnacentral:tRNA from 1 species